rnacentral:rRNA from 1 species
CAGCAGCCACGGUAAAACGAAGGGUGCAAGCGUCACUCGGAAUUACUGGGCGUAAAGCGUGCGUAGGUGGUGGUUUAAGUCCGUUGUGAAAGCCCUGGGCCCAACCUGGGAAUUGCAGUGGAUACUGGAUCACUAGAGUGUGGUAGAGGAUAGUGGAAUUUCCGGUGUAGCAGUGAAAUGCGUAGAGAUCGGAAGGAACAUCUGUGGCGAAGGCGACUAUCUGGGCCAACACUGACACUGAGGCACGAAAGCGUGGGGAGCAAACAGGAUUAGAUACCCCGGUAGUCCCUGUCUCUUAUAA